UCUGGGCUGCCUUCUGGAGCUGGAAGAUCAAGCCUUACUAUGAUCCCUGGAGCUUGGCACGCGGCCAGCACCGGGUAGCCCUAGUGGACAGAGGUGUUGGGAGCAGAGUCAUCAGUGGAUGAGACCAGCACAGUGCCUGCCCUCAAGGGGUGCUCAGUCAGCUGGAGUUCAGAUUCGUACACAGGAGCUAACAGUUCAAUGGAAGGAGAGCCCCAUGGUGCUGGGGGACAAGAGGAAGGAGGCGGGGGCAGGGGACUCAAGGCAGAAGCAAGAGUUCUGCUGGGCUACAGCCACCCAUCUGUCACCCUUGGACAGCGCCCACACCCUUCUAGCACCUCCUGACAGCAGUGAGAAGAUCUGCACCGUCCAGUUGGUGGGUAACAGCUGGACCCCUGGCUACCCCGAGACCCAGGAGGCGCUCUGCCCGCAGGUGACAUGGUCCUGGGACCAGCUGCCCAGCAGAGCUCUUGGCCCCGC
rnacentral:sRNA from 1 species